GGGGAAUAUUGGGCAAUGGGCGCAAGCCUGACCCAGCAACGCCGCGUGAGGGAAGAAGGCCUUCGGGUUGUAAACCUCUGUCCUUGGUGACGAAGGAAGUGACGGUAGCCAAGGAGGAAGCCCCGGCUAACUACGUGCCAGCAGCCGCGGUAAUACGUAGGGGGCGAGCGUUGUCCGGAAUUACUGGGCGUAAAGGGUGCGUAGGUGGCCUUUUAAGUUGGAUGUGAAAUACCCGGGCUUAACCUGGGGGGUGCAUCUAAUACUGGGAGGCUAGAGUGCAGGAGAGGGAAGCGGAAUUCCUAGUGUAGCGGUGAAAUGCGUAGAUAUUAGGAGGAACACCAGUGGCGAAGGCGGCUUUCUGGACUGUAACUGACACUGAGGCACGAAAGCGUGGGGAGCAAAC
rnacentral:rRNA from 1 species